rnacentral:rRNA from 1 species
AGUACCGAAACUGUGGAUGUGUUUUAAAGAGCACGUGGUAGGAGAGCGUUCUAAGAGCGGAGAAGUUGAAUCGAGAGGAUCAAUGGAGCGCUUAGAAGUGAGAAUGCCGGUAUGAGUAGCGAAAGAUAGGUGAGAAUCCUAUCCGCCGAAAGACUAAGGUUUCCUGGGGCAGGCUCGUCCGCCCAGGGUAAGUCGGGACCUAAGGCAAGGCCGAGAGGCGUAGUCGAUGGAUAACAGGUAGAGAUUCCUGUACUGUGUCAAAUCGUUAAGAGCGAAGGAGGGACGCAGGAGGUGAAGCACGCAUCGAGCUGGAUCGAUGUUCAAGCGACAAGUGCGGUUAAGAGUCAAAUGCUUCUAACCAGCAACACGAGUCGUGAUGAGGAGUGAAUUAAAAGUAGCGAAGGUGUGGUAAUCACACUGCCAAGAAAAGCUUCUAGCCAGAGAUGACAUACCCGUACCGCAAACCGACACAGGUAGUCGAGUGGAGAACACUAAGGUGAGCGAGAGAACUCUCGUUAAGGAACUCGGCAAAAUGACCCCGUAACUUCGGAAGAAGGGGUGCUAGCCAAGAGAUUGGUUAGCCGCAGUGAAUAGGCCCAAACAACUGUUUAUCAAAAACACAGGUCUCUGCAAAAUCGUAAGAUGACGUAUAGAGGCUGACACCUGCCCGGUGCUGGAAGGUUAAGAGGAGAGCUUAGCGUAAGCGAAGGUUUGAAUUGAAGCCCCAGUAAACGGCGGCCGUAACUAUAACGGUCCUAAGG